UUAAAUUGAAGAGUUUGAUCAUGGCUCAGAUUGAACGUUGGCGGCAGGCUUAAGACAUGCAAGUCGAGCGGUAACAGAUCGCUAGGAUCCCUUCGGGGUGACUUUGAUGCUGACGAGCGGCGGACGGG
rnacentral:rRNA from 1 species